UUAAAGGGUUAGGGGAAGUGUUAGAUAAAAUAGCUAAGGUUUGGGUUAGGGGAAAGGUUAGCUAACAUGCUAAGGAGUUUCAAAGUAGAUAAAAAGUUGUAAGUAGUUGAAAAGUUUCUAAAAUGCUUAAGUUGCCCUUGAGGAGAUUCCAACUCAUAACCUCUGGGUUGCUAGACAUUUGCAAUAUAUACCUACCCAUCCAUCCAUCCCAACCAACCACCCUACUUCCAUUUUUGCCUUAAGUAAACAUCUGUCUUAUGUAACCAUACCAAAGGUAACAUAUCAUACUAAAUGUAGUAUUUCAGAUUUUUGUACAUAAUAAUACAAAAUGCUCUGAGACCAGGUUGCACUCUUGGUUGUUACAAGCAGUGUAGCAGUGUGAGAGUGAGAGAAAAAGCAUGUUGCAGCACCAACAUCAUCACUAAUCGCAACAGGGAAAGUAAUUGUUGUUGGCAACAACAAAACUUUUUUUGGUGCCAUCAUGAUCAUGGCAGGAGAGUGACAGCCAUGAACAGACAGACAUGCAGAGAGGCCACAAAGCAACAGGAUCCCCAGCAUUAUGCACUCAAGCCACCAUCAGUACGCACACCUGCCUUCCCCCCGUCACGCGCAUUAGCGAUCAUUGGACUCAUGUGGACUCAAUUACUUGUGUCAUUAUCCUCCUUAUAUCUGCCUGUUCCCAAGCUCUGUUCCCUGCUUCGGGAUUGAUUGUCAUAAGUCCAUGUUACCCGUGUUCUGACACUGUUCCUGUCUUGUUCUAUGUCUGUUCCCCAUUAAAUGUUUGAC